rnacentral:sRNA from 1 species
GGAUUCCCCUAGUAACUGCGAGUGAAGAGGGAAAAGCUCAAAUUUAAAAUCUGGCAGCUCCGCUGUCCGAGUUGUAAUUUAGAGAAGCGUUGCCCGUGCUGGACCGUGUACAAGUCUCCUGGAAUGGAGCGUCAUAGAGGGUGAGAAUCCCGUCUUUGACACGGACUCCCAGUACAUUGUGGUGCGCUCUCAAAGAGUCGUGUUGUUUGGGAAUGCAGCACUAAAUGGGUGGUAAAUUCCAUCUAAAGCUAAAUAUUGGCGAGAGACCGAUAGCAAACAAGUACCGUGAGGGAAAGAUGAAAAGAACUUUGGAAAGAGAGUUAAACAGUACGUGAAAUUGUUGAAAGGGAAACGCUUAAAGUCCAGUCGCGUCUGCUGGGAAUCAGUCUUGCUUCUGCUUGAUGUACUUCCUAGUGGACGGGUCAGCAUCAGUUUUGACCGUUGGAUAAAGGCUAGGGGAAUGUGGCUCUUUCGGGAGUGUUAUAGCCCUUGGUUGUAUACAACGGUUGGGACUGAGGAACUCAGCACGCCGAAAGGCCGGGUCUUGUACCACGUUCGUGCUUAGGAUGCUGGCAUAAUGGCUUUAAUCGACCCGU